AAUGAACGCUGGCGGCGUGCUUAACACAUGCAAGUCGGACGAGAAAGGCUGAUUUUCGGAUUGGCCGAGUAAAGUGGCGCACGGGUGAGUAACGCGUAGGUAACCCCCCCUUGUGUUUGGGAUAACACCUCGAAAGGGGUGCUAAUACCGGAUGAGACUGUGAUUCGGGAGGAUCAUAGUGGAAGGGAGCCUCUUCAAAUGAAAGCUUCCGCACGAGGACGGGCCUGCGUCCUAUCAGCUAGUUGGCAGGGUAAAAGCCUACCAAGGCGACGACGGGUAGCUGGUCUGAGAGGAUGAUCAGCCACACUGGCACUGGAACACGGGCCAGACUCCUACGGGAGGCAGCAGUGAGGAAUUUUGCGCAAUGGGAGCAAUCCUGACGCAGCAACGCCGCGUGGGCGAUGAUGGCCUUCGGGUCGUAAAGCCCUGUCGGGCGGGAAGAAAUAUUGUGAGGUGAAUAGCCUUGCAAGUUGACGGUACCGCCAGAGGAAGCACCGGCUAACUCCGUGCCAGCAGCCGCGGUAAUACGGAGGGUGCGAGCGUUAUUCGGAAUUACUGGGCGUAAAGCGCGUGCAGGCGGGAGGAUAAGUCUGAUGUGAAAGCCCGGGGCUCAACCCCGGAAGAGCAUUGGAAACUAUUUUUCUUUGAGUCCUGGAGAGGAAGGGGGAAUUCCCGGUGUAGAGGUGAAAUUCGUAGAGAUCGGGAGGAAUACCAGUGGCGAAGGCGCCCUUCUGGACAGAGACUGACGCUGAGACGCGAAAGCAUGGGGAGCAAACAGGAUUAGAUACCCUGGUAGUCCAC
rnacentral:rRNA from 1 species